rnacentral:rRNA from 1 species
ACAUGCUUACAACAUAGUGUUAAUGCAUCGAAUCCCAUUAACUUUGCAGUUAAGUGCGCUUGGGCUAGAGUAGUAUUGGGAUGGGUGACCGCCCGGAAAGUCCUAGUGUUUUACAUGCC